GACGAACGCUGGCGGCGUGCCUAAUACAUGCAAGUCGACCUUAGUGGCGAACGGGUGAGUAACACGUGGGUAACCUGCCCAUCAGAAGGGGAUAACACUUGGAAACAGGUGCUAAUACCGUAUACUGAUGGAUGGACCCGCGGUGCAUUAGCUAGUUGGUGAGGUAACGGCUCACCAAGGCCACGAUGCAUAGACGACCUGGGAGGGGAAGAGGCCACCUUGGGACGUCGACACGGCACAAACUCCUACGGUAGGCAGCAGUAGGGAAUCGUCGGAAAUGGACGAAAGGCUGACCGAGCAACUCCGCGUGAGGGAAGAAGGUUUUCGGAUCGUAAAACUCUGUUGUUAGAGAAGCGGUAUCUAACCAGAAAGCCACGGCUAACUACGUGCCAGCAGCCGCGGUAAUUC
rnacentral:rRNA from 1 species